rnacentral:rRNA from 1 species
AAGUCAGAUGUGAAAUCCCGGGGCUCAACCCCGGAAGUGCCUUUGAUACUGGAUGGCUUGAGUACGGGAGAGGGAAGUGGAAUUCCUGGUGUAGAGGUGAAAUUCGUAGAUAUCAGGAGGAACACCGGUGGCGAAGGCGGCUUUCUGGACCGAUACUGACGCUGAGGCGCGAAAGCGUGGGGAGCAAACAGGAUUAGAUACCCUGGUAGUCCACGCCGUAAACGAUGAGCACUAGAUGUUGGGGGAAUCGACCCCUUCUGUGUCGAAGCUAACGCAUUAAGUGAUCCCCCUGGGGACUACGGCCGCAAGGUUAAAACUCAAAGGAAUUGACG